rnacentral:rRNA from 1 species
ACCGGUGCUUAUGGCGGAGGGGCCACACCUGUUCCCAUACCGAACACAGCAGUUAAGCCCUCCUGCGGCGAUGAUACUGGUAACCCCGGGAAAGUAGCGCAGUGCCGGAU